rnacentral:rRNA from 1 species
GGCUGCAGUCGAGGAUCUUCGUCAAUGGUCGAAAGACUGAACGAGCGACGCCGCGUGCGCGAUGAAGGCCUUCGGGUUGUAAAGCGCGAAAGUAGGGACGAAAGUCGAAAGAUUUGACCGAUCUACAGUAAGCUCGGGCUAAGUUCGUGCCAGCAGCCGCGGUAAGACGAACCGAGCAAACGUUAUUCGGAAUCACUGGGCUUAAAGGGCGCGUAGGCGGGUAUCCAAGUCUAUGGUGAAAUCCGGCAGCUUAACUGUCGAACUGCCGUGGAUACUGGGUACCUCGAGGAAGGUAGGGGCAUACGGAACUAACGGUGGAGCGGUGAAAUGCGUUGAUAUCGUUAGGGACUCCGGUGGCGAAGGCGGUAUGCUGGACCUUUUCUGACGCUGAGGCGCGAAAGCCAGGGGAGCAAACGGGAUUAGAUACCCCGGUAGUCCUGGCCCUAAACGUUGGGUACUAGAUAGUAGCCUUCACAUGGGGUUACUGUCGAAGCAAAAGUGCUAAGUACCCCGCCUGGGGAGUAUGGUCGCAAGGCUGAAACUCAAAGGAAUUGACGGGGGCACACACAA